rnacentral:lncRNA from 1 species
UCGGUAAUUAAUUAAUAGGGGAACAAGCAUUGCAAUAAAAAUGCGUAAAGAUGUCUCUGUCGCAAUGCCGUCAUUAAAUAAGAUAGGAGCAAGUCCAUCUGAAGAAAGACAGGCUAGAACUCGCCCAUUUGGUGUAUACAGGGAGUAGUGUAGGUAGGAGAAAGGUGCAAGAAGCUAGAUGGUAGGAAGAGAGGUUCCAUUAAGUACACCUGGAACCAUACAUGAUACUUUAAGGUCCAUAGCCUAAAAUGUGGUGGUGGAUAGGCUAGAUGAUAGUUAAUAAAACUGAUCACUACAAGCAUGCUGAUAAUGAGAACUUGCAAUGAGAACUAAAGGAUCAUGGGUGCUGUUUUCUUCUUCUUCUUCUUCUUCUUCUUUUUUGAAAUGGAUCAUAGAUGCUGGGUCUCCACAGUGAAGCAGCAAAGAGCCACACUAAUCUUAGAGAAAAAUCCCUCUCCAUGUUGUUGCCGAAGGAGAGGGGAUUUCAUCUCGGUGAUUACUCCAAAUUAAAGUUCCACUAUGAUAAGUGGAUUCGGAACAAACUCUUCACAAGUGGCCCUCUGCAUGAUUGCCACUUGUCAUGCUCUGAAGGUGCAGA